AAUUUUCGGCAUUGUCAGAGUGAGUGGGAAAAUAUGUUGUGCUGGAUACAAGUGGAACUCAUCUUUGAAGAAUUGUACAGCUUGUAAAGUCGGAUUCUAUGGUCCAGAAUGCAGAUUGAAAUGUGUACCUCCGUCGUUUGGGAAAGAUUGUCAAUUGACUUGCAACUGUAGCGAUAAUGAUUGUCAUCACAUUUAUGGUUGUUCUAACAAAUAUAUAACAGAUGAAAAUGUUUCAUCAACGGUCAAUACAUAUGCAAUUAUGAAAUCAAACGAUAAUGCAACAGGUAUGAAAUCUAAAUCCACUAAUAUAGAAGGUAAAAUAUGAUUUUAUGUUGUCCUUUUUCAUGAUCAUGGCAUUGAUAAUAUCAUUUGGAAUAAUCACAAGUUUUAACAUGUGAUGGAUACAGACGAUUAAAAGGUUACUCACUCAUAAUUAAUC